GACGAACGCUGGCGGCGUGCCUAAUACAUGCAAGUCGAACGCAGUGGGGACGGGUGAGUAACCCGUGGGUAACCUCCCAUCAGAGGGGAUAACACUUGGAAACAGGUGCUAAACCGAUACUGAUGGAUGAACCCGCGUUGCAUUAGCUAGUUGGUGCGGUAACGGCUCACCAGGGCCACGAUGCAUCGUCGACCUGUGAGGGUGAUCGGCCACACGGUGACUGAGACACGGCCCAGGCUCCGACGGGAGGGAGCAGUAGGGAAUCUUCGGCAAUGGACGAAAGUCUGACCGAGCAAAGCAGCGUGAGUGAAGAAGGUUUUCGGAUCGUAAAACUCUGUUGUUAGAGAAGCGGAAUCUAACCAGAAAGCCAAGGCUAACUACGUGCCAGCAGCCGGGGUAAAAC
rnacentral:rRNA from 1 species